rnacentral:rRNA from 1 species
CCCUUAGAUGUUCUGGGCUGCACGCGCGCUACACUGAUGCGCUCAACGAGUUUACGAACUUGCCCGGAAGGGUUGGUUAAUCUUUUUAAAACGCAUCGUGAUGGGGAUAGAUUAUUGCAAUUAUUAAUCUUCAACGAGGAAUUCCUAGUAAGCGCGAGUCAUCAGCUCGCACUGAUUACGUCCCUGCCCUUUGUACACACCGCCCGUCGCACCUACCGAUUGAAUGGUCCGGUGAAAUCUCGGGACGGCGGCUUGGUCGCUUGCGUCCGACUGCUGAAACUUGAUUAAACCAUAUCAUUUAGAGGAAGGUGAAGUCGUAACA